UCAAAAGUGAAGAUACUGUAAUAUCCCAGUGAAGAUGGUUUGCUCAACCUGCUGGGGUAUCUGGAAUGAAGCUCGGGGCUAAGAGAAAGGAUACUUUCUUACGGCUGGCCGCAUCGAAGUAGUAAUACUAGAUGAAGGGUGCAAUUCCUGAAAGUAACAGAUGGCACACAUCAUUGUGCAAUAUAGUCCAGAAUACAUAUCGGUGGAAGAAUAGAGGGUUACUUGAAUAAAGUGCCUGAAUCUUAGUUAGGUAUAUAUUGGCGUUAUAUAUAAACCUAAGAAUAGCCAAUAAUCCACUCUGUCGUGAAGCGAAGAAAUUCGUGUAUAAGAUAUGGAAGAAGAUUCUCUUAGUAGCCUAGAGACAGGUUCUGAGUCAGGAAAAAAUAAGAUCACAGAACAAAUGCUGAAGAGUUGGGUGAAAAGUGUGGGUAAUCAAUCCCACCAGAGCUUCGUGAUGAAAGUCUAGGGAAGAGAUGCAGGGAAUUGCUAACCUUGCACAGCCUCUUUUCUCUCUGUAGGAUAACAAUAUUUUUGCAAUGAUGAUGUAGGGUGAAUAAAAGCCCAUUACAGUGUUUUCACUUUU
ncrna:unclassified sequences ROOL RNA